CAACAAGACAGCCAUCUGGGAACCAGGAAGUGGUUUCUCACCAGACACCAAAUCUGCCAGCCCCUUGAUCUUGGACUUCCCAGACUCCACAACUGUGAGAAAUAAA